CCUUUUCAUCUUCCUCAUCUCGCCAUCUACUACCAUCCUCCACGCUCCAAACAACCUAUCAAAUACUCUCUCCGCCGGAAUCUCAAACCUGACCACCAUCAAAUCACCAUCAUUGACUGCCGGUUCACCACCAUCCUCCGUCUGAAGUUCCAACACCAAUCGCAAUUCGUUCUUCCGCAAGCUUCUUCAAAUCCUCUCGUCUCAGUUCAUCAUCUUGACACAUCCGUUCCAUCGUCAAUUGUCUCAGCUCGACGCGUUUCACUUCCUCCAUCUCAGCAAGCCGCGUUUCCAAACGCGUUCAGCUUUGACGCCGCGACUCUAUACUGUUCGGUAAUCCGAGGUAAACUUUUUCCUCAAAUUACUGUUGUUGGGUGA